GAUACAAUGUUGAACACACCAUCAAGGUGAACGGACUUCUUAGUGUUUGAAGGCACUACUUUAAAUCCUGCCUUAUUUGAACCACCCCAUUGAGAUAACACCACCUGUUCCAUUGCACCUUUUUCCAAGCCAUCAGCAUGGUGUUGCAAAGAUGGUGUGACGUUGUCCUUUGUACCUUCUUUCUCCAAAUUCUCUAGAGAUGUUUCCUCCACCAAUUUAUUAGCA
rnacentral:lncRNA from 1 species